UACGUAGGCAGCAAGCGUUGUUCGGAAUUACUGGGCGUAAAGAGUGUGUAGGCGGUGCUCUAAGUUCGGUGUGAAAUCUCCCGGCUCAACUGGGAGGGUGCGCCGGAAACUGGGGUGCUGGAGCGCGGGAGAGGAAAGCGGAAUUCCGUGGUGUGAGCGGUGAAAUGCGUAGAUAUCAGGAGGAACACCGGCGGUGUGAGACGGCUU
rnacentral:rRNA from 1 species